rnacentral:lncRNA from 1 species
AUGCUAAGCAGAAAGCUGUCUGUUUAGAGGUCUCUUUUCAUCUUGAAAGAGAAGAAAAACAGUAGCAAAGGACUUCCUUGUCAAAUCCUAGUUCAAGUUGAACUUCUAAAGGCUUGGAGGAGGCAUUUGUGACACCAAAGCUUUUAGGAGCAUUGAAAUGAAAACUUGAAGGGGAAAGAAAGCGUUUUCCUCCGUCUGUGUCUUGUUGCCUGGAGAGCCGUACGAUUUCACUCGGCUCUGAUUUUGUGAUUAAAACGUUGUGCAAGAUUGUGGUCACAUCUGCACCCCUGGAAGAUCCGUGGGUGAGGGUCCGGCAGCCUCCUUUCACUGAUGGGGUCUGAGCCUCGAAGGUUCAGGGACAAGACUAGGUUCAUGAUGGAAAUGGCAAAGUCAGAGAUGGAGCCUGGGCCUGCGGAUUCUGGUCCCAGGAAGGAGAGCCACAAGUGACUGUGUGACAAAUGUUUGUGGCAUGGGGACAGGCCUGCCAACCAGCCACCAUUUAGCUAUCCCAGAGGCUGAAGGAGAGCACAAAGACUUGGGAAUCUCCUCUCGGAAAGACAUUUCAUAUACUAGGGGCUUUAGGAGACACAUGACGAGAAAUGUACAAGAUGAGCCUAGAGAACAUUUUGUGGUGUUGGGAAGUAAGGAAGUGCUCCAAACCCAGAUUAAUGGGGUAUGCUAAAAACCCACAAAUGACCACUGGAAGAUCUAAUAGUCAAAGCGAGAACAAUGUGUGCAAGAAGUGAACAACAAGCAUUCGAUUAUAAUCCAAAGGAUGUAAUAGAUAUCUAUGAUACCACGUGGACAUAAACGAAUGAUGGAAUAUGCAAGUAAGUGAGAGAGAUUAGGCAAAUCUCCCCGGCUGGAGAAUACUAAAUAACCUAGCUCUUCCUCCUUCGAAGAGGGGGAGCAUAGCACCCCACUCCUUCAGUGUGUACUGCCCAGAGCAACAUCCUUCUAAAAGGGCAGGGUGGAAGGCAGCGUACCUCGGCAUGGAGAAACCUGGAAGACACACCUCGGCCAGGUGAUCAGGAGCAUCCUCAACACGGAUGAGUCAGGUUGGUCGUAGGUACCCUUGGCAGGGGUGAGGAGAAUGGCACUGGACCCCAGGGUCUUCCUGCUCCAAACCCAUAGCUCCAGUCUAAGCAUGACAAAAAUCUUGGUCGAACCCAACGAAGGGGCAUUCCACAAAAUACCUGAUCCGUACUCCUCGGAAUUACAGGGUCAUCAAAAAUAAGGCACGUCUGAGGAACUGUCACAGUCCAGAAGAGCCUAAGGAGAAAAGAUGAUAUCAUGGGAUGUGGCCAAUAAGGUCCUGGAAUGGACAAACUGGGGAAAUCUGAAACAACAUAGACUUUCAUCGAUGGUAAUGCGUCAAUACUGGUGUCUUAGUAUCGACGAAUGGGUCACAACGUUUUUGCUUUUUAGGGCUGCACACACGGCAUAUGGAGGUUCCCAAGCUAGGGGACGAAUCAGAGCUACUGCUGCAGGCCUACGCCACAGCCACAGCCACACGGGACCUGAGCUGCAUCUGUGACCUACACCACAGCUCACGGCAACACCAGAUCCUAAACCCACAGAAUGAGGCCAGGGAUUGAACCCGAAACCUCAUGGUUCCUAGUCAGAUUCAUUUCUGCUGCACUACAAUAAGAACUCCCAAUAGGCUACAUUAAUGUAAGGGAUUAAUAAUGAAGAAAACUGGGCAUGGGAUAUAUGCAACUCUCUGUAUUCUCCCUGCACCUUUUUUUUUUUUUUUUUUUUUUUGCAGGGGGGAGAUCUAAAUCUAUUCCCAAAUUUCUUAAUGACUUUGGUGGCAACUAGAGUGUCAGAUUUUGCUCCUAGAAUCACUGGCUUUGGUCCACUGCUUCUAUUAUAUUGCUGUUCUCUCAAGAAAAAUAUUUAGAGGAAUGUCUGUCUACUCCUUAUCUGCCAUGUUUUAUUCCAUCCCCACUGCUUAUGGUGUGCCCUCUUUAUUUCUGCAUUGCAUUUUUUUCUGUUUAUGGCUGCAUCCCUGGCAUAUGGAAGUUCCUAGUCUAGAAGUAAAAACAGAGGUGCAGCUGCAGCCUACACCACAGUUUGCGGCAGUACCAGAUCCUUAACCCACUAAGCGAGGCAGGGGAUUAAACCCUUACAGAGACAACGUUGGGUCUUUAACCUGCUGAAUUAUUCUGGGAAUUCCUGUGUUGCAUUUCUUUUGGCUGGUACUCAUGGCAUGUGAGAGUUCCCAGGCCAGGGAUAGAACUCACGCAACAGCAGUGACCCAAGCCCCAGAAGUGAACAUGUCUUCACCUACUGAGCUAGGAGGAAACUCCCCGUGUUGCAUCUAUUACUGUAUGACGGUGUAAGUUAAGUGUGUCUAUGUUAGCUUAAGAAAAUGGAUCGUCAAGCCAAGUGAGUGGGUUUGAAACGUGGCCCUCACCAAUCUUUGUGACGCUGCUUGUGGUCUUUUCUAGCAUCUCUCCCUAUCCUUGGCGAGGGUCUAGAGAGGAAAGGUGACAGAACCUUGAAGUUCCAGUUAAGGGUGUAAGGACAUUCCUGGGGGUUACACCUCCUGAGCAUCCUCUAAAAUCCUCCCUCCCCCCAAAACAACAUUUCAGAGGUUCUUCUCAAGUCCUCUGAGCUGAGUGUAAUAAAGGAGAAUCUGAAGAGUCCCAUGAAGCUGCCAAGUGUUCGUUCUUAAAGGACAGCCUUUCUGAUGCACAUGAAGAUACAUUUCCUCCCCUCUGUGUCGGCUGGAAUUUGGCACCAUGGAUAAAUUGGAUUGGACAGCAUAAGCCCCAAUUCCAACAGGCAAGUCAAACCUAAGCCCCAGAGGACACUAAAAACGUUAACUUCAAAGAAUGGAUUUUGUUCGCACAGUUCUCUGCUUUCUGAUUUUGACCAGGACUAGGAUGAGAAAACGAAGCGCUUUUCCCUUGUGAGGUGUCAACUACUCUCAUAUUUGCAGCCAUGGAAGCGUUUCUGACUCGGCAAACACCCUUGGAAGCCAAAGGGGAUACCUCUCCCUCUCUCUCUCUGUCCUCUCUGUCUUUUUUCUCUCUCUUUCUUCUCUCUCUCUCACUCAUCCUACAAAUCCACAGUCCACUUGCCCAUUUCAUCUUUCUUUUGUGUCUUUGCACUCACCUGAACUCUCUGACUUGCUACCUCUCACCACUUACCUGUUUAUAGAGAGAUGACAGGAUUUGCCUGGCCAAGUCUUCGUGUUAAAUUAACACAACCUAUGGUCCAGCCAGGCUACAGGGGCUCAGGGGACCCUAGCUGUGUCCUCUCCUCUCUUUGGAUCACGGUGUUUUGCAGUCUCACCAUCUCCCAUUCUAUACAUCCAGCUGUCCCUUCAAGGCAGGACUGCUGCCUCACUCACUCUCCUCCUUUUGGAGUGAUAAAGUACGCAUCUCUCCAAAUUUUGAGAAUAACAACAAAUAAAAAACUAUGUUAAAAACUGUCUAGGUCUUCUGCCUCUUUUGACUACAAAGUUAAUAGACUCUGUUUAUGUUGCUUUCUUAUUUAGCUUAUUUUCCCUGCAGGAAAUCUUUUCCUGCCAUGUUCCCAAGGAGAAUUUGCAGAGGUAGAGGGACUUUCUCAAGAUGAUAACAGUGUGUCAGAAUCAGGAUUCCAGCUCUAGAGUGUCUGUCCCUUGACCCCUGCACAGCCACUGUCCCCAAUGUCUAUGCUACCUUUUUCUUUUAUGCUUUGUUCAAGUACCUUCCCUGGGCUCCAUGGUCCCGGUUAUAGAAGAAUAAGCAAUGUGUGACCCUGCUCUCAGAAGUCCUUAGUUUGCCGACCUUCAGCCCUAGGAUGGCUAUUGUUGCUAAUAUUUAGAAUAAUUUAAAUCUGAUUUGUCAAGACUCCUGGCUCUGACCCUACACUCCUUUCCCUUUCAGUAAAAGAUGAUCUUGGAGUUCCCGUUGUGGCUCAGUGGAAACAAAUCCAACUAGUAUCUCUGAGGAUGCAGGUUCAAUCCCUGGCCCCGAUCAGUGGGUUAAGGAUCCCGUGUUGCUGUGAGCUGUGGCGUAGUUUGCAGAGGCAGCUCGGAUCCUGCAUUGCUAUGGCUGUGACAUGGGCUGGCAGCUGAUGCUUUGAUUCAACCCCUAGCCUGGGAACUUCCAUAUACCACAGCUGAGGCUGUAAAAAGAAAAUAAUAAUAAUAAUAAUAAUAGUAAAAGGUAAUCUUGGUUCUUACCUGCACCCUCUUCAUAGGGACUCUUGUCUCUGCUGACCAUAGCACCAAGACACCCCCUCUAUUCCUCCUUCCAGCCAACCCCAUGCCCAAACCUCCCUGGAAUAAUGUGCUCCCAGCACCAUAUUGACUUGUCACUUUGGAAAAUAUCAGCUGUCGUCCCCCUUAACUGGCCCUGAUGGACACAGCGUGGGACUUGUCACUACGUGUGAUGCCCAUAAGGAGAUUAUGAACACGUGAUGAAGGGAGAGAACUGGAGGGAGAGCCACAGUGGUUUGGGGAGAAAGAUGUCAGCCUGCAUGUUGUUUAAACUGGAAAUAUCCCACAGAGUCAUGCACUCCACAAAAUAAACAGUUACAAAUAACAGCUUCCUAAUCCCUAAAGGCUGGAUUUGAAACUUUACAAAAGGUCAGAAGUUCAUCUUUUUUAAAAAAUUGAAACGUAGUUAAUUUACAGUGUCGUGUUAGUUUCAAGCAUACAGCAAAGUGAUAUAUAUAUACACACAAUUCUUUUUAAGAUUAUAUGUUAUUUCAAGAAAUUGAAUAUGGUUCCCUAAGCUAUACAGCAUGUCCUCAUUGUUUAUCUAUUUUACACACAGUAGUGUGUCUGUGUUAAUUCCCAGCUCCUAAUGUGUUUCUCCUCCAUCCCUUCCACUUUGAUAACUGCAACUUUCUCUGGUUCCUGUGUCUGUGAUUCUAUUUCUGCUUUGUAAAUAAGUCCAUGUGGAUCAAUUUUUUUACGUUCCACAUAUAAGUGAUAUUAUGAUACUUGUCUUUCUCCAUCUGACUUGCCUCACUUAGUAUGAUAAUGUCUAGGUCCGUCUAUGUUGAUGCAAAUGGCGUUAGUGCAUUCUUUGUUACAGCUAGGUAACACUCCCGUGUAACGUACUAAGUCUUCUAUCCACUCUCCUGUCGAUGGACAGUUACGUUACUUCCAUCUCUUAGCUGUUUCGAAUAGUGCUGUUAUCAACAUUGGGAUGCCUGUAUCUUUCUGAAUGAGAGUUUUCAUCUUUUCCAGACAUAGGCCCAGGAGAGGGGUGGUUGGCUCUUAUGGCUCUGGUUCUAUUUUUAGCUUUUUUAAAGAACCUCCAUAUUCUUCUUCAUCGUGGCUCCACCGGUUGAUAUCCCCACCAGCGAUGUAGGAGGGCAGAAGUUCACCUUGACGAGAAGACAGAGGAGGACGGACAGAGCAGGUGGAAGCCCAUCGCGUGUGAAAGGCUCUUAGCUGCACUUCUGUCACCUUCCAUGAUGCUCUCCUGCCCUCAUAAACUUUGGGUCAAAGGCUGAUUUGGUUCAAUCCUCCUGAUGGACAAUUUACUCUUUUUUGCCAUAGUCUUUACAAUGGGUGGACUGUAGACCUAACAUCGCCACUCCCACGACUACAUCCCAGGGAAAUGAUGAGAUGAGCUCAGUAUGUGGAAGGGUGUUCACUGCAGGUAUAUUUAUUCUAGAUAACAUUUUGGAGUAUCUGUAGUUCCUGACAACAGGGAACUGUUUAAAAUGAUAUAUUGCAUCCCUACAAUGGAAAGAGAUUAUAGCUAUUAAAUAUCAUGUCUUAUAAGACUACUGAGUGAACAAAGAAAAUGCCCACAAAAACAGAUUACUAUAUGACAUCUACUCUGGUAAUUCCAAUUUUAAAAAGUAGAAGAAGGUUAUAUUCCUGUCAGUAGCUGGAGCUGCACCAAAAUGUAACAGUGAUUAUUUCCGGUGGAACUUAACACGUAUUUUG